rnacentral:ncRNA from 1 species
AUCGCCCAUUUCCAGCAGGGUUGCGAUGGCCGCUGGUCGGUGUUGACGCAAUGUGAUUUCUGCCCAGUGCUCUGAAUGUCAACGUGAAGAGAUUCAUCAAAGCGCGGGUAAACGGCGGGAGUAACUAUGACUCUCUUUGGAAGGGGAAAAUCCAACCGCAGACCUCCACGUGGUCCCUUCUGGGCAUCGGAGUCUAUCUCCGAUGGCAGACGUGCGGCAAUGGUGCACACGGCCGUGUCAUGCAGCCGUGUGUGUGCAACCAUGUAAUGUGUUUGCACCUUGCAUAACAUCGCAAACUGAGCAGCCCUCAGAUUUACUUGUCGUUCGGGUUGCCAGCCCGUUCGACAAAAUUUCACUUGGCCUGGACAGACAAAAGAAAUUA